rnacentral:rRNA from 1 species
AUCAAAUACUAUACCAGUACUACUGCACCGAAUCCCAUCAUAACUCCGUAGUUAAGCAUAUUUGGAGUGAGAGUAAUACUAGGAUGGAUGACCUCCUAACAAGUAGCCUGCGUCAUAAAAA